CAAAGAGGGGGACCUUCGGGCCUUUGCCAUCGGAUGUGCCCAGAUGGGAUUAGCUAGUAGGUGGGGUAACGGCUCACCUAGGCGACGAUCCCUAGCUGGUCUGAGAGGAUGACCAGCCACACUGGAACUGAGACACGGUCCAGACUCCUACGGGAGGCAGCAGUGGGGAAUAUUGCACAAUGGGCGCAAGCCUGAUGCAGCCAUGCCGCGUGUAUGAAGAAGGCCUUCGGGUUGUAAAGUACUUUCAGCGGGGAGGAAGGCGACGGUUAAUAACCGUGUCGAUUGACGUUACCCGCAGAAGAAGCACCGGCUAACUCCGUGCCAGCAGCCGCGGUAAUACGGAGGGUGCAAGCGUAAUCGGAAUUACUGGGCGUAAAGCGCACGCAGGCGGUCUGUCAAGUCGGAUGUGAAAUCCCCGGGCUCAACCCGGGAACUGCAUUCGAAACUGGCAGGCUAGAGUCUGUAGAGGGGGGUAGAAUUCCAGGUGUAGCGGUGAAAUGCGUAGAGAUCUGGAGGAAUACCGGUGGCGAAGGCGGCCCCCUGGACAAAGACUGACGCUCAGGUGCGAAAGCGUGGGAGCAAACAGGAUUAGAUACCCUGGUAGUCCACGCCGUAAACGAUGUCGACUUGGAGGUUGUGCCCUUGAGGCGUGGCUUCCGGAGCUAACGCGUUAAGUCGACCGCCUGGGGAGUACGGCCGCAAGGUUAAAACUCAAAUGAAUUGACGGGGGCCCGCACAAGCGGUGGAGCAUGUGGUUUAAUUCGAUGCAACGCGAAGAACCUUACCUGGUCUUGACAUCCACAGAAUCCUGCAGAGAUGCGGGAGUGCCUUCGGGAACUGUGAGACAGGUGCUGCAUGGCUGUCGUCAGCUCGUGUUGUGAAAUGUUGGGUUAAGUCCCGCAACGAGCGCAACCCUUAUCCUUUGUUGCCAGCGGUCCGGCGGGAACUCAAAGGAGACUGCCAGUGAUAAACUGGAGGAAGGUGGGGAUGACGUCAAGUCAUCAUGGCCCUUACGACCAGGGCUACACACGUGCUACAAUGGCGCAUACAAAGAGAAGCGAACUCGCGAGAGCAAGCGGACCUCAUAAAGUGCGUCGUAGUCCGGAUUGGAGUCUGCAACUCGACUCCAUGAAGUCGGAAUCGCUAGUAAUCGUGGAUCAGAAUGCCACGGUGAAUACGUUCCCGGGCCUUGUACACACC
rnacentral:rRNA from 1 species